rnacentral:rRNA from 1 species
CGGCGGACGGGUGAGUAACACGUGGAUAACCUACCUAUAAGACUGGGAUAACUUCGGGAAACCGGAGCUAAUACCGGAUAAUAUUUUGAACCGCAUGGUUCAAAAGUAAAAGACGGUCUUGCUGUCACUUAUAGAUGGAUCCACGCUGCAUUAGCUAGUUGGUAAGGUAACGGCUUACCAAGGCAACGAUGCAUAGCCGACCUGAGAGGGUGAUCGGCCACACUGGAACUGAGACACGGUCCAG